rnacentral:rRNA from 1 species
AAUGAACGUUGGCGGCGUGGAUUAGGCAUGCAAGUCGUGCGGAAAGGCCCCGCAAGGGGUACUCGAGCGGCGAAAGGGAUAGUAAUGCGUAGAUUACCUACCCCCGGGACCCGGAUAGCUGCGGGAAACUGCAAUUAAUCCGGGAUGACGUCUGCGGACCAACGGUGUGAUUCCGCCCGGAGCCGGGUCUGCGUCCUAUUAGCUUGGUGGUGAGGGAACGGCUCACCAAGGCAACGACGGGUAGCGGGUGUGAGAGCACGACCCGCAUCACUGGGACUGAGACACUGCCCAGACACCUACGGGUGGCUGCAGUCGAGGAUCUUCGGCAAUGGGCGAAAGCCUGACCGAGCGACGCCGCGUGUGGGAUGAAGGCCCUCGGGUCGUAAACCACUGUCAGAGGAGAGGAAGUGUUGGGGGGAUCACCCCUCAGCUUGACCUAUCCUCAAAGGAAGGACGGGCUAAGUUCGUGCCAGCCGCCGCGGUAA